ensembl:snoRNA Gm56111 small nucleolar RNA SNORA61
GCUCUCUGGUUUCCUUUCCUAUCAGAUUUUGACACUGGUUUGGGUGCUUGUAAAGAAGGAAGAAUACACUGAAGCUCGAUUCAUAGGAAUGUAGUCUGGUAUAGAGCAUAGGGCCAGAUUCACACAGGC